AUUUCUGUGGCUUCGUGGUAAGGACACUUGCCUCUCACGCUGGAGUCCCGAGUUCGAUCCCCGGUCGAGGAGCU